UGUAAUGCGAUGAUAAGGAGAAGUACAUACUCCCGAUAUUCAAGAGAGAAGAUGGUUGGUGCGAAUCUUCAUGGAGGAAGUAUGGAAGUAGCCUUUGAGCAGUGAACCGAACGAGAGAAAUCUUUAGUAGACUUCAACGGAGUUUUCCGCCGUUACAAGGAAAGCGGUAUCGAUCACAGUAUUCGUGCUGAUUUAUUCAGGACCAUAUUAGUUUUCCGUACUGACAGAGUGCAGAGGUCUUCCCUCUGAAUUUAGGUGGUACCACGGAGUAGAUUCGCCCUAAGC
rnacentral:ncRNA from 1 species